rnacentral:rRNA from 1 species
AUAACGACUCUCGGCAACGGAUAUCUCGGCUCUCGCAUCGAUGAAGAACGUAGCGAAAUGCGAUACUUGGUGUGAAUUGCAGAAUCCCGUGAACCAUCGAGUCUUUGAACGCAAGUUGCGCCCGAAAGCCAUUUGGCCGAGGGCACGUCUGCCUGGGCGUCACGC